AAAGCUCCAGUGUUCCCAGAAGCAAGUUCCCCUCUUCCCCCAAGGCAUUGUGAGGACACAGCCCAAGAUUCCAACCCAGGCUGUGAGGAAUAGCACAUUCCCACUGUCCACAAGGGCCGCAGCACUCUUCCAUCCAGUUUCCAAGUCCCUGUAAUGCCAUCAUCUUUGUAAAUCUUUUCACUUUCCUCUCCUCCACCUCCUUCCUUCCCUCACCAUUUGCUAGCUCCAUUCUUUUAUAUUGUUUAUAACCUGCCCAGUUUUUUGCUCUUUCAGUUGCAAUGAACUUAAUCUGUGCCCCCCAAACUCAGAGAAUGUGUGCAGAAGCCCAGGAAAACCUAUUUCCUGAGCAAGAGCUUACAGCACAGAGAGUGAGGCUGUGAGGAGCCAGGUGCAGCUCCAAGCAUGCACAGAGAUGCAGCUUGAAGGACUGUUGCCAGCAUGGAGGGACAAAAAAGUCAGACCAAGGGACAGCAUCAGUGAUGCUUUUGCAAUAGAACUUGGGAGCAGCAAGGUCUGACUGUGCCAUCAAAGACUAUGGAAGAAAGCAGCCACAAUUUACAGUCUCACCCAGAGACUUCAUUAAUCCUUCUUGACUUAGGGAUCCUUUAAUAUCUGUAGGAGGCUGCCACAUUUUAUUUCUCCAGCUAGCAAUUCAAACUACAUGGACUUGAAGUCAAACUGUGAAAGCUAAAACCAAAGGCAGACUAGAUGACUAAACACAGGAAGAAAACUUAGAACAGAAAUUAAGAGAAAAUUCUUUUUCUGUGAUUGCUGAAAGUAUGAACCUGAGUUUCUCACCUCUUAUUAAAAAUCCCUUGCUCUCACA